rnacentral:rRNA from 1 species
GACGAACGCUGGCGGCGUGCUUAACACAUGCAAGUCGAACGGACAGGCCCUGCUUGUAGGGUACUCGAGUGGCGAACGGGUGAGUAACACGUGGGUGAUCUGCCCUGCACUUCGGGAUAAGCCUGGGCAACUGGGUCUAAUACCGGAUAGGAGAUAUUUUUAGUGUGAUGGUUGGAAAGUUUUUUCGGUGUUGGCUGAGCUCGCGGCCUAUCGGCUUGCUGGUGUGGUGAUGGCCUACCAAGGCGGCGACGGGUAGCAGGCCUGAGAGGGUGGACGGCCAUCUUGGGACUUAGAGACGGCCCAGACAGCUACGGGAGGCAGCAGGGGGGAAGAUUGCACGAUGGGCGCAAGCCUGGUGCAGCGAGGCCUCGGGGCGUAUGACGGUCUUCGGAUUGUAAACUCUUUUCGCAAGGGACUAAGCUUUUUGUGACGGUACCUAGACAGAAAGCACCGGCUAACUACGUG